AUGUGACGCGCUACUCUUAUAUCAUC
rnacentral:rRNA from 1 species